CGCUUUCCUUUCCUUUCCUUCCUCUCUCUGCUCGAGCCCGAGUAGCCCUCGUCGUCAUUCUUAUCCUCCUACUUCCGUUACCUUUAUAGUUCGCGUCCUCCACCUCCUCUUCCCAUCUCGCCUCACGCCAUUUUUCAUUGCUGCGUAUCGUCGAUCAUCGUUGGUCCGUGCGUUCGUUAGUGUCAUCCGUGUGCGGGAAUGGAAGCGUACAUGUUGUUCUCCCGGAGGGAAGGGAUGAUCAGGUGCGACGAGCAGGAGGAGGACAUCGGGUGCCCGUCUGAGUCGGAGCUGUCGCUCUCGUCGUCGUCGGAGGGGAUGGAGCUCGCCGACGACGCGAGCUCGUCGGGGUCGUCAUCGUCGGCGGCGGGCCACUUCGAGAUGUCCUCGCUCAUGACGGAGCUCCCGCUCAAGAGGGGGCUCUCCAAGUUCUUCGACGGCAAGUCGCAGUCGUUCGCGUCGCUGGCGGCGGUGGGCGGCCUGGAGGACAUGGCGAAGCCGAUGAGGAAGCGCCUCAAGACGUCGCGCAGCUGCGGAGGUCGGGCUCGGGCUGCGGGACGCGCACCGGCGUGGCCGCCUCUCGCCGCGGCCGCUCUGCGGCAAUGCCAGCGCCGCGUCCUUCAAGAAGGUGUCCAAGGGAGGACAGCUGUCCGUGCUCGGCGCGAGCAGGAGGACGCGUUCGCCGGCGACGGCGGCGAUCUCGCCGAGGCCGGAAGGGAUGCCCGGGCAAGCUCUGUUAUUUGCUUAGGAGAUUUGCCCGCGAGGUUCGUGUACGCACUCAUGUCAAGCAUCAUCAUCAUAAGCACUAAGCAGUACUAGUAGUAGGUGACACGGUUGUAAUUACAGUUUUGAAGUGAAAAUGACCAAGGAAAUGUUGUGAAAUGGACGAUGUUCCUUUGCCCCAUGGGCUAUGUAAAUAUUUCAAGACUUUUAGAGAGAUUUGGGGUGAAAAUGUCUCGAAUAGUGGCCGCAGCUGCUAAAUAUCGUGUGAAAAAAUAACACAGCAAGAUCAGCCUGACAAAUCUGUGUUAUGUGGGACGAAAGGAAAUUUUUUGUUCACUAUGUUCAUCGUUGUUAGAUUUAUGAAGAGUAUAUUGACACGGAAUUGCUACGUUC